rnacentral:rRNA from 1 species
UACGUAGGGGGCAAGCGUUGUCCGGAUUUAUUGGGCGUAAAGAGCGUGUAGGCGGCCAGACAGGUCCGUUGUGAAAACUCGAGGCUCAACCUCGAGAUGUCGAUGGAAACCGUCUGGCUAGAGUCCGGAAGAGGAGUGUGGAAUUCCUGGUGUAGCGGUGAAAUGCGCAGAUAUCAGGAGGAACACCGGUGGCGAAGGCGGGUCUCUGGGCCGAUACUGACGCUGAGGAGCGAAAGCGUGGGGAGCGAACAGG